rnacentral:rRNA from 1 species
UACGUAGGGGGCAAGCGUUGUCCGGAAUCAUUGGGCGUAAAGCGCGUGUAGGCGGCCCGAUAAGUCCGCUGUGAAAGUCAAGGGCUUAACCCUUGAAUGCCGGUGGAAACUGUCGGGCUAGAGUCCGGAAGAGGCGAGUGGAAUUCCUGGUGUAGCGGUGAAAUGCGCAGAUAUCGGGAGGAACACCAAUGGCGAAGGCAGCUCGCUGGGACGGUACUGACGCUGAGACGCGAAAGCGUGGGGAGCGAACAGG